CGGUUAAGUUAGAAAGGGCGCACGGUGGAUGCCUUGGCACUAGGAGCCGAUGAAGGACGGGACGAACACCGAUAUGCUUCGGGGAGCUGUAAGCAAGCUUUGAUCCGGAGAUUUCCGAAUGGGGAAACCCACCACUCGUAAUGGAGUGGUAUCCAUAUCUGAAUACAUAGGAUAUGAGAAGGCAGACCCGGGGAACUGAAACAUCUAAGUACCCGGAGGAAGAGAAAGCAAAUGCGAUUCCCUGAGUAGCGGCGAGCGAAACGGGACCAGCCCAAACCAAGAGGCUUGCCUCUUGGGGUUGUAGGACACUCUGUACGGAGUUACAAAGGAACGAGGUAGAUGAAGAGGUCUGGAAAGGCCCGCCAUAGGAGGUAACAGCCCUGUAGUCAAAACUUCGUUCUCUCCUGAGUGGAUCCUGAGUACGGCGGAACACGUGAAAUUCCGUCGGAAUCCGGGAGGACCAUCUCCCAAGGCUAAAUACUCCCUAGUGACCGAUAGUGAACCAGUACCGUGAGGGAAAGGUGAAAAGCACCCCGGAAGGGGAGUGAAAGAGAUCCUGAAACCGUGUGCCUACAAGUAGUCAGAGCCCGUUAACGGGUGAUGGCGUGCCUUUUGUAGAAUGAACCGGCGAGUUACGAUCCCGUGCAAGGUUAAGCAGAAGAUGCGGAGCCGCAGCGAAAGCGAGUCUGAAUAGGGCGAAUUGAGUACGUGGUCGUAGACCCGAAACCAGGUGAUCUACCCAUGUCCAGGGUGAAGUUCAGGUAACACUGAAUGGAGGCCCGAACCCACGCACGUUGAAAAGUGCGGGGAUGAGGUGUGGGUAGGGGUGAAAUGCCAAUCGAACCUGGAGAUAGCUGGUUCUCUCCGAAAUAGCUUUAGGGCUAGCCUCAAGGUAAGAGUCUCGGAGGUAGAGCACUGAUUGGACUAGGGGCCCCUACCGGGUUACCGAAUUCAGUCAAACUCCGAAUGCCGAUGACUUAUCCUUGGGAGUCAGACUGCGAGUGAUAAGAUCCGUAGUCGAAAGGGAAACAGCCCAGACCGCCAGCUAAGGUCCCAAAGUAUACGUUAAGUGGAAAAGGAUGUGGAGUUGCUUAGACAACCAGGAUGUUGGCUUAGAAGCAGCCACCAUUUAAAGAGUGCGUAAUAGCUCACUGGUCGAGUGACUCUGCGCCGAAAAUGUACCGGGGCUAAACGUAUCACCGAAGCUGCGGACUGUUCUUCGAACAGUGGUAGGAGAGCGUUCUAAGGGCUGUGAAGCAAGAUCGGAAGGACUUGUGGAGCGCUUAGAAGUGAGAAUGCCGGUAUGAGUAGCGAAAGAGGGGUGAGAAUCCCCUCCACCGAAUGCCUAAGGUUUCCUGAGGAAGGCUCGUCCGCUCAGGGUUAGUCGGGACCUAAGCCGAGGCCGAAAGGCGUAGGCGAUGGAUAACAGGUUGAUAUUCCUGUACCACCUCCUCACCAUUUGAGCAAUGGGGGGACGCAGGAGGAUAGGGUAAGCGCGGUAUUGGAUAUCCGCGUCCAAGCAGUUAGGCUGGGAAAUAGGCAAAUCCGUUUCCCGUGAAGGCUGAGCUGUGAUGGCGAGCGAAUUAUAGUAGCGAAGUUCCUGAUUCCACACUGCCAAGAAAAGCCUCUAGCGAGGUGAGAGGUGCCCGUACCGCAAACCGACACAGGUAGGCGAGGAGAGAAUCCUAAGGUGAUCGAGAGAACUCUCGUUAAGGAACUCGGCAAAAUGACCCCGUAACUUCGGGAGAAGGGGUGCUCUGUUAGGGUGCAAGCCCGAGAGAGCCGCAGUGAAUAGGCCCAGGCGACUGUUUAGCAAAAACACAGGUCUCUGCGAAGCCGUAAGGCGAAGUAUAGGGGCUGACGCCUGCCCGGUGCUGGAAGGUUAAGAGGAGCGCUUAGCGUAAGCGAAGGUGCGAAUUGAAGCCCCAGUAAACGGCGGCCGUAACUAUAACGGUCCUAAGGUAGCGAAAUUCCUUGUCGGGUAAGUUCCGACCCGCACGAAAGGCGCAACGAUCUGGGCACUGUCUCAACGAGAGACUCGGUGAAAUUAUAGUACCUGUGAAGAUGCAGGUUACCCGCGACAGGACGGAAAGACCCCGUGGAGCUUUACUGCAGCCUGAUAUUGAAUGUUGGUACAGCUUGUACAGGAUAGGUAGGAGCCUUGGAAACCGGAGCGCCAGCUUCGGUGGAGGCAUCGGUGGGAUACUACCCUGGCUGUAUUGACCUUCUAACCCGCCGCCCUUAUCGGGCGGGGAGACAGUGUCAGGUGGGCAGUUUGACUGGGGCGGUCGCCUCCUAAAAGGUAACGGAGGCGCCCAAAGGUUCCCUCAGAAUGGUUGGAAAUCAUUCGCAGAGUGUAAAGGCACAAGGGAGCUUGACUGCGAGACCUACAAGUCGAGCAGGGACGAAAGUCGGGCUUAGUGAUCCGGUGGUUCCGCAUGGAAGGGCCAUCGCUCAACGGAUAAAAGCUACCCCGGGGAUAACAGGCUUAUCUCCCCCAAGAGUCCACAUCGACGGGGAGGUUUGGCACCUCGAUGUCGGCUCAUCGCAUCCUGGGGCUGUAGUCGGUCCCAAGGGUUGGGCUGUUCGCCCAUUAAAGCGGUACGCGAGCUGGGUUCAGAACGUCGUGAGACAGUUCGGUCCCUAUCCGUCGCGGGCGCAGGAAAUUUGAGAGGAGCUGUCCUUAGUACGAGAGGACCGGGAUGGACGCACCGCUGGUGUACCAGUUGUUCUGCCAAGGGCAUCGCUGGGUAGCUAUGUGCGGACGGGAUAAGUGCUGAAAGCAUCUAAGCAUGAAGCCCCCCUCAAGAUGAGAUUUCCCAUUCCGCAAGGAAGUAAGAUCCCUGAAAGAUGAUCAGGUUGAUAGGUCUGAGGUGGAAGUGUGGCGACACAUGGAGCUGACAGAUACUAAUCGAUCGAGGACUUAACCAAUUU
rnacentral:rRNA from 1 species